GCAUCCAGGAACAGAAAUCUCCAAGAAAUAAUACAGCAAUAAAAUCAUAGCGAAGCUACGUGGGAGCCAAAUGAAUCCCGGAACGUUACAUAUAACCACGCAGCAAAGCGGGACUGUUGUUACGUAGUUAUGGUCCUCAUAGUGCGAAAUCACGUUGUGAUGUAUGUACCCUUAGCGGCGAAGAACCGCGGCAGACAGCCCCUAAUGCCUGCGCCUGUUCCUUUCUGAAUUGCUGGAAGGCUACUGCUGAGAUAAGCCUUUCUUUUGCUUUAGUCCCCUCUUCUCAGAUCUAAUUGUUAUCUCAGCAGUAAUCUUAUAUUAACUUCUGGGGAGCUGUUUGUGUUGAAGUCACGGCUAGCUUUAGUCCUAUCUAAUGGAUCUAUGGAAAAAAGAGGGAGAGGAAAGGAGAGAAAUGUAGUUUGAAGAUAGGAUACUACAUGUACCCUAUUGGAUUGGGUAAAAAUCAUGCAUUUGUUUUGUGGGAAGUACUGGCUCUUGUAUAUUUUUCCUCUUCCGGUGACGAUUCUCCAUCAUUUCUCUGGAAUGAAAACGUUGGCAAAGGCAUCUCUGUGUUGAGCCGUCACAUCCAAAAGAGGCUGACAGCAUCUGAAGGCAGAGCGGAGAACCUGACUAGGAAAGUGAACUUAAUCCAAGGUUUAGAAUUUUCCACUCUUCUAUGUUUAAUAGAAACUGGGACUUUGGAAUAAAUUUCUAUGUGCAUGCCUGCAGAUUCCGCUGAAGCUCUGUGGAGUUUCCCAUCCACACUUUGAUGUUAAGGUACUUCAUGACAGGAGCAGCUUGUUCUCCAGGCAUUUGGGGAUUUCUCCAUUUAACUCCCCAAGGUAUGGUUCUAAUCAUCUUAUUCUCAGAAUCUUUCCCCAGAGGUGCUCUUCUGUGUUUCUUAUUGACUCCACAGUAUGGAUCCAUUUUGCUUUCCUGUCAAGCAUUGAGCUGUUCUAGUAGUGCCUCAUUCAGUUCUCCGGUUCUUCCUAUUAAUCUUUUUUCAGUCUACAGAAGGGGAAGAGGUAUAGUAGUUAUUUAUAUUGAUAGCUGUAAAUCCUACUCCUCUCCUGUUUUAAUUUGGAAACUCAAACAGGAAAAGCAUUUUGUAUGGGGAUGAAAUUAAAUUAAAAGAUUACCCAUAGUUUGAAGCUUUCUAAGAAGAACAGAUUUUUUAAAAUUCCUCCAGUGAUGGAAGUGUUCAUUUUAUGGUAAGUGCUAAUAUACUUCAAAGGUAGAGGGAACAGGUGAAAGUCAAACCAGUGCUUCUGCUAAAAAUUGAAAGCCAGCCUAUCAGUGCUCUUUACUUUCAGAGUAAAACUGACAAGUUUCCUGAAAUAUCUAGUUCAAACGUGUUGUUUACCUGCAGCUAACAGGCGUUUGUUUCUGAAGCUAGUGGAAGCAGUUUUCAUUCUUCCUGCCUCAGUGAUUGAUUUGUUUCUUUCUGUUAUUUUUUAAUUUUUUAUUUAUUUAUUUUUAAAAAUUAUUUUCUUUCAGGGAACUUAAUUGCACUGUUUUUUGUUUUGUUUUGGUUUGUUUGUUUGUUUUUUCCCCAUAAAUAAACACAUCAAAUGUCAUGGCAUUAGCAUAGUCAUAAAAAUGUCAAGUAUUUGCUGCAUUUGCAGUAUGUCACAGUUUACUAAGGAAGGUAUUUUCUCUUUCAAUUAACAUGAGUCUCUGGAGCGUGACUUUGAAUGGGCAGCUCUUAAAAUGGUGGCAAUUGGUGACUACAGAUUAUUCCCCUUAGGGAUAAGAAUAGAUUGUCCCCAAAGCAGGAUAAUUUUGGUCCUCAAAAGCAGUAGAUCCUAAAGGAAUACCCAGAUAUAUAUGGCCACUUAAUGUAUGCUACUGACCCUAUGGUUGUAUUCUGUGCAAGCUCAUGCUGUGUCUGGCUGACCCCACUGAUCUCCCACAAGAACCUAUUUCUUUGCCAGUCAUAAUCCACAUAUUAUCAUUUGUUCCUUGGGUAGUAUUAUUUAUUCUUUAAUACAGAAGAGUGACUGAUGUUAUAUCGUUAAGAUGACUAGAUCUUAAAAAGAAACAGGUACAUAUUAAUAAAUAUUAUUUUGUCUUGUAUCUAAACAUGUAUAGACUGUUGCACUGCCUGUGCUAACUACAAUAGCUUUGUUUUAGUCAGUAAUUUCCUGACAGGAUUUGGGACUGUGAAUCUCAGUUGUAAGGAUACAAGUAUGUGAACAUGGGAGUUUCAUAUACAAUCAGAAUUUUUUUAAAUGGUAAGUUUAUGUAAAGCAAAUAUUUUAAACUUCUGUCCAAAGUUCCUUCUUCUUUCUCGUCUGUUAUCAGGGGAAAUAGCUAUAGAAUUCAAUGUACUUAUAUACUUAAAAAUUUGGAGAUGUGAACCCAAGUUAUUAUCUGAGUUUUCUGUUUUUGAUCAUGUCCACAGAUCAUCCACUCGAUUUGUGAUUGAUAUAUUUGUUAAGCUUAUGAGCGCAAUGGUAAGAGAGACUGCUGCCUUAAAAGGUUCCUUGGCACUGGUUUUUCUAUGCAUGGAAGGACAUCUGGUAUGGCCACUGGAGAAGAAAGCAAGUGUGCUGUGUGCUGGGUAGCCUCAUCCCUACUUUGAACUGCUUGCUACAGGUUUUGCUGCUGCAUUGCAGCACAGCUCUGUUUCUGUCCUUGUUUGGAUGGGCAGGAAAUUCUCAUUUUCACUUGUGGGGAAUACAGUGGGCUAUAAAUAAGGCAUAGGGCAAAAAGUGCCCAGAAAAAGGUAACCUCUCUGUGGGUAUAUUUACAGAAGGUGAGAGCCCCUCCAAUGUGAGAGCAGUCAUUACGGAUCACCUCCCUUUUUGGUCUUCCUAAUGUGUCUUAGACCUCAUCCGUUAAGAGACAGAAAUCACAACUCUUGGUUGGAUUUACUGUUCUGUUUUGUUUUAUGGGACAGGCAAAACAGUACCAGCUGAUGAUGAUAUGGCAUAUGGAUGCCCACUGGAUGUGGAUUGCAUCAGAUGGCUUACUUCAUGUGGUGUAUCAGCUGUGCUCCAGCUCUGGACUUACUGUUCUCCAUGGGUUGAACACAGAGAGGAUUCAGACUCUAACGCCAACUGAGCGUGCUUUUUCUUGUCUCUGGAUGUCAGUCUGACAGCAGGUUGGUGUUAUCAGUGUCCUGGGAGCAGUAAGCAUUACCCGCCUGCUGUUUUUCCAGUUUUUUUGCCCCUCCCCAAAAUGAACUAAGCAGACAGACAGCCUGAACAGAGAAAUGGCAGAACAACCGUCUUAAAGCGGUCAAGAUUUCUUGUGUUAGGUAACAUGCUGGAGCCUGUGCAAACCUGGACCCUGUUGAUUAUGUGGAGUAGUCCAGGUUAUGCACAGCUGCAGUCUUCUGGCACUGUCAGCAUUUUCUUUUUUCCAAUAUCUGAACCCAAGCAGGCUGACACUAUGUUUUUUGUGAGGCCAGUGUUCUCCCAGUAGUAUUUAUGUGCGCCAAAAGUUGGUGUGAUCUUGAGGAUCAGCUGCCAUUUGGUGGUGGCUGCAAAUCCCUGGAGUGGGAAAGAAGGUUUGAUGACUCCUGUCCUAGAGCUGAGCUUUUUAGUUUUUUUUUUACAUUUACAUUGCACUCUGAGACCUCCACAUCUUCUCUAAAGUUGUUCUUACUUAGGUCUUGGGUAAAUGGUCUAUUUUAGAUAUUCAGUCAUACUCUUUUCUGUUAAGAAACUACUUACCAGAAAACAAAUAUCUCUGGGGUAUUCUUUUAAUUUGAAUUCCACCUCUUUUCUCCAAAAUAACUUCAGGAGUGUUAACAUGAUGUCACUGAGUUUGAACAGCAGCAAAGCUGAGACACAAAGACAGAAAUAUGCAGCCUGUCUCAGGACGUGCUGAGACAUCCCCCUGCAGCUGUAUGGGCUAUCAGCACAUCUCCGCCCUUUCACCAGAGACAACCUCUGAGGGGUAACUUUGCCUUCAGACUUCAGUCGCGUAUUAUUUGCUCUCAGCCAGAGCUUUUUGCCUGUCUUCUGGGAGCGCUGAUCCACUCACCGCAGCUAAGCACUACAUACGAAGCCUUUCCUACGCGUGUUCUCUCUCUCUUAAAAAAAAAAAAAAAAAAAAAAAAAAACAAAAAAAAGAAAAAGAAAAAAGCUGUCAGUAUUUCAGAAGCUACGAGCAGCAGAUCUUUGUGUACU